GAAAUGAAUGGGGUGCUGAAAGGAAUGCUCUCAGAAUGGUUUUCCUCCGGGUUCCUGAACCUAGAACGGGUUACCUGGCAUUCACCGUGUGAAGUGCUUCAGAAAAUCAGUGAGGCUGAGGCUGUGCAUCCUGUAAAAAACUGGAUGGACAUGAAGCGCCGCGUUGGGCCCUACAGAAGGUGUUACUUCUUUUCUCACUGUUCGACCCCUGGGGAGCCCCUGGUCGUUUUGCACGUGGCACUGACUGGUGACAUCUCCAGCAACAUCCAGGCAAUCGUGAAGGAACAUCCUCCAUCAGAAACAGAAGAGAAGAACAAAAUCACUGCUGCGAUCUUUUAUUCCAUCAGCUUGACCCAGCAGGGACUCCAAGGGGUGGAGCUGGGAACAUUCCUCAUAAAGCGAGUCGUCAAGGAGUUGCAG
rnacentral:circRNA from 1 species